CCUACGGGUGGCAGCAGUGAGGAAUAUUGGUCAAUGGGCGGAAGCCUGAACCAGCCAAGUCGCGUGAGGGAAUAAGGCCCUACGGGUCGUAAACCUCUUUUGCCGGGGAGCAAGGGCGGGGACGUGUCCCGGCCCGGAGAGUACCCGGAGAAAAAGCAUCGGCUAACUCCGUGCCAGCAGCCGCGGUAAUACGGAGGAUGCGAGCGUUAUCCGGAUUUAUUGGGUUUAAAGGGUGCGCAGGCGGAUUUUUAAGUCAGCGGUCAAAUCGUGGGGCUCAACCCCAUCCAGCCGUUGAAACUGGGGAUCUAGAGUGUGCGAGAGGUAUGCGGAAUGCGUGGUGUAGCGGUGAAAUGCAUAGAUAUCACGCAGAACCCCGAUUGCGAAGGCAGCAUACCGGUGCACAACUGACGCUCAGGCACGAAAGCGUGGGUAUCGAACAGGAUUAGAUACCCUUGUAGUC
rnacentral:rRNA from 1 species